ACAAUAUUCGGAACGUUGGUCUUCCGAGCAAUAUCACUCGCUCGGUGGAAGAUCUUCCUUCCCUUUG
rnacentral:pre_miRNA from 1 species